AGCUUCGGCCAUCCGGCGAGGGAUGGGCCCGCGGUGCAUUAGCUAGUUGGUGGGGUGAAGGCCCACCAAGGCGACGAUGCGUAGCUGGUCUGAGAGGAUGAUCAGCCACACUGGGACUGAGACACGGCCCAGACUCCUACGGGAGGCAGCAGCCAGGAAUCUUGGGCAAUGGGCGCAAGCCUGACCCAGCAACACCGUGUGGGCGAUGAAGGCCUUCGGGUCGUAAAGCCCUGUUGAUAGGGACGAAGGGCGAAGGGUUAAUAGCCC
rnacentral:rRNA from 1 species